GUGCUCACUUCAGCAGCACAUAUAUGAAAAUUGGAACAAAGCAGGGAAGAUUAGCAUGGCCCCUGCGCAAGGAUGACAUGCGAAUUCAUGAAGCGUUCCAUAUUUUU